UACGUAGGUGACAAGCGUUGUCCGGAUUUACUGGGCGUAAAGAGCGCGCAGGCGGUCGUUCAAGUCGAGUGUGAAAGCCCCCGGCUCAACUGGGGAGGGUCAUUCGAUACUGAUCGACUCGAAGGCAGGAGAGGGAAGUGGAAUUCCCGGUGUAGUGGUGAAAUGCGUAGAUAUCGGGAGGAACACCAGUGGCGAAGGCGACUUCCUGGCCUGUUCUUGACGCUGAGGCGCGAAAAGCUAGGGGAGCAAACGGGG
rnacentral:rRNA from 1 species